rnacentral:lncRNA from 1 species
AGAAGUGCUACUUUUCUUCAGCAGAGUUGACCAUCUCUCUCCACAGGAGCCCGGAAAACGCAGGAAUCAAAGUUCCCCGGAUAUGCAACUCACACGCAACAAACAGACUCCACCCUCUGUGCUGCUUCAGGGAGAGAAAUAACUAUUUCCAAUGGUAUUGAGCGAAGCAAGAACCAGACUCAUACACUUUUUGUGUUAAGAGGCGCAAUGGCAUAAAAAGAGAAUCAGGAACUUCAGAAGUAAAUACUUUACCAUUUAUAAGGUAACAGGAACAGGCAUGAGCAUUCUCAUUUGUAGACGACGAGAAGAGGACCUGGAGUUUAAGCCACUUUCAAGACCACGCUACUCCUUAGGGGCAGAACCAGGAAUUCAAGCCAGAUCAUCUCAUUCCCAGAUAACAGAGAAUUCUCCACUGCCCAGAGACCUGCAUGAAAAGAAGUUCUUCCGGUUGAAGGGAAAUGCUACCAGACGUAAAGUCAAAUCUACGUAAAGAAAUGACGUACACCAAAAAUGAUGAUCCGUGGAUUCAAACCAGGCAAGACAAGUAGACUCUGUCCAGAGACUAAGAGCAGUUUUCAAAUCCCAGAGGAUGAACAGCAAGGCAAGAACCCAUAAAGACCUCCUUGGAGCUGAAGGAUGAACACGGCCAUUGUAAGCUAGAUAAUAAAACUGGUGUGAUACAAUAAAAAU